UUCUCAUUUUCCUUUCCUGCUUAUUUGACCUCCAAUUUCCAUUGUACAUUCAGAUGGGUCCAGCUCGACAGGAAUGUUCCAUUCCUUGAUGAAUAGAUGAUUUUGGCUGCAGUUGCUAGUCAAGCAAUGAAAGCAAACAAAUACGUACGUCUGCCCAUCUGCCCAUUCACGAUACCUGACUUCCAAUUUCAGUGGCUUACCAUUUCCACUUUCAGAUACUAAUAGAAAAUUCCUCUGAAGAUGUAGGAAGGGGAAAAGAAUGGUGAAGAUUAUAUGAAAAUUUUCCUACUCAUAGCUGCAAUCUAUUCCCAUGUUGGUAUGCCUGCCUACUCACAAAUCAACAACGGUUAUAUCAAUGGUUCAACAACAGUGGUAGUUGUUAUAUAGACAGAAAUUUCCUUUCUGCAUGUAGGAGGAAAAGAACAACAAGGGUGAUGAAUUAAAAAAAUUUCCAACCAAAGCUCAGCCUAUUCAAAUGGUGGUUUGUUAAGGACGUCAACUGUAGAUGAUGGCUUUUUCUCUUUCUUUUCAAGCAUUCAUGUUUGGACACAUUCUUUAGGAGGGAGGCUACAACAUGGUCUUGCUCCUUCUAGAAGCUCAAUAGAUCUUGUUGCAUUUUUGGAGUUCCAGU